rnacentral:rRNA from 1 species
UUAAAUUGAAGAGUUUGAUCAUGGCUCAGAUUGAACGCUGGCGGCAGGCCUAACACAUGCAAGUCGAACGGUAACAGGAAGAAGCUUGCUUCUUUGCUGACGAGUGGCGGACGGGUGAGUAAUGUCUGGGAAACUGCCUGAUGGAGGGGGAUAACUACUGGAAACGGUAGCUAAUACCGCAUAACGUCGCAAGACCAAAGAGGGGGACCUUCGGGCCUCUUGCCAUCGGAUGUGCCCAGAUGGGAUUAGCUUGUUGGUGGGGUAACGGCUCACCAAGGCGACGAUCCCUAGCUGGUCUGAGAGGAUGACCAGCCACACUGGAACUGAGACACGGUCCAGACUCCUACGGGAGGCAGCAGUGGGGAAUAUUGCACAAUGGGCGCAAGCCUGAUGCAGCCAUGCCGCGUGUAUGAAGAAGGCCUUCGGGUUGUAAAGUACUUUCAGCGGGGAGGAAGGGAGUAAAGUUAAUACCUUUGCUCAUUGACGUUACCCGCAGAAGAAGCACCGGCUAACUCCGUGCCAGCAGCCGCGGUAAUACGGAGGGUGCAAGCGUUAAUCGGAAUUACUGGGCGUA